rnacentral:rRNA from 1 species
GAUGAACGCUGGCGGCGUGCCUAAUACAUGCAAGUCGAGCGAACGGACGAGAAGCUUGCUUCUCUGAUGUUAGCGGCGGACGGGUGAGUAACACGUGGAUAACCUACCUAUAAGACUGGGAUAACUUCGGGAAACCGGAGCUAAUACCGGAUAAUAUUUUGAACCUCAUUGUUCAAAAGUGAAAGACGGUCUUUCUGUCACUUAUAGAUGGAUCCGCGCUGCAUUAGCUAGUUGGUAAGGUAACGGCUUACCAAGGCAACGAUGCAUAGCCGACCUGAGAGGGUGAUCGGACACACUGGAACUGAGACACGGUCCAGACUCCUACGGGAGGCAGCAGUAGGGAAUCUUCCGAGAUGGGCGAAAGCAUGACGGAGCAACGCCGCGUGAGUGAUGAAGGUCUUCGGAUCGUAAAACUCUGUUAUUAGGGAAGAACAUAUGUGUAAGUAACUGUGCACAUCUUGACGGUACCUAAUCAGAAAGCCACGGCUAACUACG